rnacentral:rRNA from 1 species
UACGUAGGGGGCAAGCGUUGUCCGGAUUUAUUGGGCGUAAAGCGUCUGUAGGUGGCUUUUUAAGUCCGCCGUCAAAUCCCAGGGCUCAACUCUGGACAGGCGGUGGAAACUACCAAGCUGGAGUACGGUAGGGGCAGAGGGAAUUUCCGGUGGAGCGGUGAAAUGCGUAGAGAUCGGAAAGAACACCAACGGCGAAAGCAACUCUGCUGGGCCGACACUGACACUGAGAGACGAAAGCUAGGGGAGCGAAUGGG